UGUGUAGGUGGCCUGUUAAGUUCCGUGUGAAAUCUCCCGGCUCAACCGGGAGGGUGCGCGGAAAACUGGCGGGCUAGAGUGCGGGAUGGGAGAGUAGAAUUCCUGGUGUAGCGGUGAAAUGCGUAGAUAUCAGGAGGAAUACCGGUGGUGUAGACGGCUCUCUGGACCGUAACUGACACUGAAACACGAAAGCGUGGGUAGCAAACAGGAUUAGAUACCCUGGUAGUCCACGCCCUAAACGAUGCACAUUUGGUGUAGGUCAUUCAGUUGAUCUGUGCCGGAGCUAACGCGUUAAAUGUGCCGCCUGGGGAGUACAGUCGCAAGGCUGAA
rnacentral:rRNA from 1 species